rnacentral:lncRNA from 1 species
UGGUGGACAAUUUGCAAGAAGGCAAAGAGAUACAUAUAGAGAGCGGUGUAAGGGACGUAGAAGGAUAAAGAUAUAGAAUAGAAAAGAUUACUCUAACUAAUGUUUUUUAAUACUUUGCCAACCAAAAACUUGAAAAUAGUUACCAAAGUAGAGUACAUUAACUAAUGGUCCUCCACACGACUUACUGAGUACAUUAGGUUUGGCAAAUGCGCCAGUAGGUAUUGAAUGAAAGACGUACGGACGUUGUUC